UAAAAGUGCUGCAAGGCACUGGUAGAGGAUGGACUUAUGGCGCAUUAGCUGGUUGGUGAGGUAACGGCUCACCAAGGCGACGAUGCGUAGCCGACCUGAGAGGGUGACCGGCCACACUGGGACUGAGACACGGCCCAGACUCCUACGGGAGGCAGCAGUAGGGAAUUUUCGGCAAUGGGGGGAACCCUGACCGAGCAACGCCGCGUGAAGGAAGAAGGAAUUCGUUCUGUAAACUUCUGUUAUAAAGGAAGAAAGACGGAUGGAGGAAAUGACAUCCGAGUGACGGUACUUUAUGAGAAAGCCACGGCUAACUACGUGCCAGCAGCCGCGGUAAUACGUAGGUGGCAAGCGUUAUCCGGAAUUAUUGGGCGUAAAGAGGGAGCAGGCGGCAGCAAAGGUCUGUGGUGAAAGACUGAAGCUUAACUUCAGUAAGCCAUAGAAACCGGGCAGCUAGAGUGCAGGAGAGGAUCGUGGAAUUCCAUGUGUAGCGGUGAAAUGCGUAGAUAUAUGGAGGAACACCAGUGGCGAAGGCGACGAUCUGGCCUGCAACUGACGCUCAGUCCCGAAAGCGUGGGGAGCAAAUAGGAUUAGAUACCCUAGUAGUCCACGCCGUAAACGAUGAGUACUAAGUGUUGGAAGUCAAAUU
rnacentral:rRNA from 1 species